UCCAGACUCCUACGGGAGGCAGCAGUGGGGAAUAUUGGGCAAUGGGCGCAAGCCUGACCCAGCAACGCCGCGUGAAGGAAGAAGGCUUUCGGGUUGUAAACUUCUUUUAAGAGGGAAGAGAAGAAGACGGUACCUCUUGAAUAAGCCACGGCUAACUACGUGCCAGCAGCCGCGGUAAUACGUAGGUGGCAAGCGUUGUCCGGAUUUACUGGGUGUAAAGGGCGUGCAGCCGGGCUGACAAGUCAGAUGUGAAAUCCCGCGGCUCAACCGCGGAACUGCAUUUGAAACUGUCAGUCUUGAGUACCGGAGAGGUCAUCGGAAUUCCUUGUGUAGCGGUGAAAUGCGUAGAUAUAAGGAGGAACACCGGUGGCGAAGGCGGCCUGCUGGACUGCAACUGACGUUGAGGCCCGAAAGUGUGGGGAGCAAACAGGAUUAGAUACCCCAGUAA
rnacentral:rRNA from 1 species